UCAGUGCUUCAUUACAAAGUCAAAUUACAGAUCACACAUUUGCAGGUGACAGACAGAUACAUUCUAAACUGUAACACUGAUGGGCAACAAUAGUCCUCUUUCCAUAACAAGAGUUUACUUUACGCAGGCAUUUGCGUAAUGCAUGAGGUGAAGACCUUCUUGAAAUGCAGUAUGUCCUGUACGACUGGUUCUUCAAGGUUGUUUAUUUCCUUGUGACUUGGCCUCAGGACAGGAGGAACUAACUUUUCUCACAGUAAGUUACAAAUCACGGUACGUGCAGGACAGAAGCAAGAGAAACACACAUGUUGCACUUGCUGGGAACUGUUGUUGGCCUUCUCUUCAUCAUAAUGUGUUUUUCAAAAGGACUCAAAGAGGGAUAUAAACCAAAAAAAACACAACCACCUGAAUCAUCGACCAACAACAAGAUGAAGGACCUGAGCGAAGAAGAUGUGCAUUUAUUGGCCAGGAUCCUGUCAGUUGGGUUGGUGGAUGCAGAUCCAAACUAUCUCCACCAUCUUAAAGGCUACAGAGACUUGCAUGCUAGAUGAAAUCAACAGACAAAACAAAGCAGGUCCGGCAUGUAUGGAUGGAUCUGUGGUGACAUCAAAUCAAGGCUAUCCACUAUUGUGUUUUGGAUUACCACUAGUCAAGUUAUUCUUCCAAGCGUUUCCACGAGUAAUGGAAAAAUGUGCACUUUAUUCAGGUCAAAGAUGAUAUUGGCAGUUGAGCACUGUGGUGCUUGAUAUGGAUGUGAACAUUUUGAUUUUGGAUUCUGACUGCUAUAUUUAUUGCCCCACUGUAUAUAUAUUUUAAAUCUCUGAAAAUGUGAAAAAAGCAACCUCUGAUAUAUUACAUUUAACAUCCUUAUCUUUUUAAGUUUGGAAAUGCAUAAAAUGAAAAUAUAGAAAGAGGAAAAUAUCAGAGGUAUUUGCAUUAUUAGACUUGCUUUGAUGUAGAAACUGUGUUAUUCAAAUGUUGUGCAAUGUUAAAUACCCCUUGUUGAGCUGUAAAACUAAACUUUAACAUUUACAUCAGAGGUAUACUUGUUGCUCAAUUAAGCUGUAAUGCGCAUUUUCAGUAGGUUGCAGAAAGCAAUUAAACCUUUAAAGUGAGAUUUACUUUAAAUGCUGAGCUAAAGUAGCAUGUGGACUGAGUCAUAUGGUCAGUGAAGAAAGAAAAUCAGUAAUGUGCAUGAAACAACAAUGUAUACCUCAGAUUGGCUAACUUCAGCUAACAUUAAUCACCAUAAGCCAUAGCAAAACAACAAAGGCUGUAGCACCAAAACCUCCGUAUGCAUUUGCUUGAGGGAUGCUGCAUUUUACUUCCUUUCCCUACUUCCUUUUAAGAGGAAGAAUGUGUUUGCUCUUUUGCAAAAGUCUUGCCUUAAGGGGCAGAGAGGGUCACUAGGCUUUGUUCGUCUUUCUGUUCGUGCCUAAAGGAGACAAAAAGGUAGAGAGAAGAAGACAGAAAGAGAGUGAACAUGUGAUCUUUUGUUUGUCUCCAGCUGUAAACUCACUAAAUGUCUCUUACUCCAGACAUGGCUGUUGAGCUUGUCCCCUAGCACAUAGAGCAAGGUCACCACUGACAUGUUGAAAAAGAAGAAGCCCAUCAGACCAGCAGUGCUGAAAUGUCCAAGAAGGGGAUACACCCAAAUCCCAACUGACAAGUACACCCAUAUAAUCCUGCAGGACAUGUUUAGAGAGAAAGAAGAAAAAAGAAACUCUCAUUGUCAUUGUCAGAUCAUCUCAUAUUGUCAUGUUCUAGAGAACUAGUAUGGCUUGUGCAAAUAUUUACUGGUUUCCAUCCACUGACACCAAGGACACUAACUGUAUGACUGUAACAACAAAACGCUAGGCAGUAAAAAAUCUUACAGUAUAACACAUACAGUAUAUUUAUACUGUGUACCAUCAGACACAUGAGGAUCUGUAGGCAGCAUUAUGUGAACCAGAACUACUGAAGUUUCAGAGGAAGCUUUUGCCCCUCAAGCUGUUUGCAUUGUGAACUGAUAAACCCUGCUGCACUGGACUUGUCUAGACUAGUUACAGCAGAAAAAUAGACACAUUUAGACACUGGUGUGCUUUUAGCUAUAUGUGAAAGAUUUAGCCAGCUCCAAAUGAGGGAUACCAAAAAGCUUUAACUGUUUUAAAAAGUUGUACUAUUUGUGUCUUAAUGUGCCUAAUAACGCUUGUAAAUGUUUUAGCAUGAUUCUAUUGUAUAUGCUUACUCAGCACUUACCAGAAUAAAUAAGAGAAGCCUACAACCCCUAA